CUUGGAAUAAGGGGUGGGUAAGGACGGUGCCAGCCGCCGCGGUAAUACCGGCGCCUCAAGUGGUAGUCGCUUUUAUUGGGCCUAAAACGUCCGUAGCCGGUCUGAUACAUUCGUGGGUAAAUCAACCAGCUCAACUGGUUGAAUUCUGCGAGGACGGCCAGACUUGGGACCGGGAGAGGUGUGGGGUACGCUCAGGGUAGGGGUAAAAUCCUGUCAUCCUGAGCGGACCACCUGUUGCGAAGGCGCCACACUAGAACGGAUCCGACGGUCAGGGACGAAGCCUAGGGGCACGAACCGGAUUAGAUACCCGGGUAGUCCUAGGUGUAAACGCUGUGGACUUGAUGUUGGGGGUGCUCCGAGCACUCUCAGUGUGCAAGCGAAGGUGAUAAGUCCACUGCCUGGG
rnacentral:rRNA from 1 species